ensembl:lncRNA
AUCAUCCCCCUGCAGAGGCCAGCUCCAAGAGCAAGAUGCAGCACCCUUCAGACACCCUGGAGUUGACCAGGCUACUCCCAUUGAAGUUCGUGAAGCUAUCUGUCCACAACCGGGAAAAGCAGCAUCUUCGCCUGAAACUGGCCAGUGGGCGAUCCUUCUAUUUGCAGCUGUGCCCACCCUCCGAUGCCAGGGAGGAUCUCUUCUCCUUAUGGGAGAAGCUCAUCUACCUCCUUCGGCCACCUGUGGAGGGCUACAGCAGCACCCACGCCAUUCCUGCUGGGAAGGGUCGAGGUGCCUGUUUUCAGUGCGGAAGAGGAAUCUCCUGUGAGUUGAGCCACAGAAGGACUCAAUUUGGGCCUUGCCCGACCUGCCUCUGAGGGCCUGUCUAGAUCAUUCCAUUAUAUUCUCUACUCAGCUAUGCUAGAAAAUGCGGGUGAGGGGGAAAUGGUGAAUGAUUUGAUCACUGUUCUUGCCCCAGGCCCUUUCAGCAGUGACAAUGUCUGGAACUAACACAUCCCGGUUCCUGCUUAGGCCUCUGUCCUAGGGUCCACAGGGUAGCAGGAAGGACUUGAUUGCCAAGCCCCCAAUCCUGACCAGGGGGAGUGGGGGGAGGGAGUUGGCAAAGAUAUGCCUUCUUUUAGGAAUCAGCCCCCACGCCCCCCCCCACCCUAUGCACACUCACAACACACCAGAACAGACACAUGUGUUCCAGGUCCUGGAAUUCCCUGGGGCUUCCUCAGUUUCCUUCUCCAUUAUAGUGGGGUAGGAGGAGGGCUCCUGACCCUAGGAUAUUUAUGACCUGACUUUGACCCAGGCGGCCUCUAACUAUCCUCUUGUGUCUCUUCUGCCCCUGGCACUAGGGACCCCAGCCCCAGGAGCCUAUUCCGCAUGAAGGGGAGCAGGAUAAAGUGAGCAUAAAGAGUCUUGACGUUCCUGGCCGGGAUAGGAUGUCAGUGCAGCCAGAAAUAAUCACGGCGGCUGCUGCUGAGGAGGGCUUCCCUAGUCCAGGAGGCACCGAGACGGAGCUGCUGCCCCCACACUACACCAUCCACGGGGUGCCCAGUGUGUCCCCUCCCAGUACCCGGUCUGUUACAACCGUUGCUAUGGCAGCUGCCGCCAGCAAGGGGCCUGCCAGUAACGCCAUGGCCGGGGCCCCCGCGGGAAUGGGGACAGCUACAGCAGGCAGCCAGGGGCCUGGCCUAAGUGUAGCCCUGGCUGGGACUACAACUGGGCAGGUAACAGAGACGGCAGGUAACACGUGGGCAAGCAGUGGGAGUCUAAUGCUGGCUGGCGCUGCCAGUAUGUCCUCAGGCACCAGCAGCCUGAUCCCCUCGGGCCACAUGAGCAUGGCCUCUGCUGGAGCCGGGAGCUUCGUUGUAGCCCGCCUAGGAAGCGUCACCCCCCUCGGGCCCGAGCGCCCCCUUGUGUCGACCUUGCACACUGAGGGCUACAUGAGUGAGCGGGACGGAAGUCAGAGGGUGGCCAUGGCCAGCCCCAAGGUGGCCAAAAAAGACACGUCAUCGAGGAGGCACUCCCGGCACCGGAAAGGCCAAGCUCGCAGACGAGCCAAGAGGGAAGGUGGCAGCGGCCAGAGGAGGUCAUCCCGGCAGGCUGCGACUUCCAAGGAGACUCAGAAAUCCAGCCGCCACAGCCCGUCUUCCCGCAAAGCCACCAGCCGCAGUCCCUCCGUAAAGGAUUCCAGUGCUUCCAGGACCUCUGACAAAGGAGGGAUGGAUAAAAGCUCAGCCAAGAAACACCCCUUGUAAGCCACUUUCUGAUUUUCCUCUGUUCUUCCAGCUAAUGCCAUGUUCCAGAAGAUGGGAGGAGGGAGGGGUGAGGGGUGAGGGGGAGGAAGAGACUAAGGCAGAACUAAAGCAGCUGUCUCUCUCAGUGACUCCUCUUUGUCUCCCCAUUACAGCCACUGCCUCAGCUAAGAAACCCAGCCAUAUUGCCUCAUUCUUGGGAGGUUUCUCUCUCUCUAAGCAGAGUGCCAAAAGCACCUCAGUCCUCACAUGGGGGAUACAGCUAAGGCCACUAAAGCCUCAACCACAGAGAUCAACAGGAGCACCAUUGUGGAGAACGUGGAGCAUGUGGAGAUAGAGCUGGAGACUAUCACAGACAUGUUCUCACUGAUGGCGGUGGUGGAGGAGAAGCAGGGGGUGAAGGGGGAGGGAGGGUGUAAGGCAGAAGAUUAUUUACCAUUUUACUUAGUCGGGCCCUUUAAGCCUUGAAAAAUCAGAAAUUACUGCUUAAUCUUGCCCCAGACCUCUUUCCUCCUAAAUCUGAACAAUAGGGAAAUGUACUGUUGCAUAGCUUAGCACAGCCCUUACCUCCAAGGUAAAUGGAUAAGAAAGCUUGCCAUAUAAUCGCUUUAGAUAAUUAUGUUAAUACCGGAGACCAGCACACCUGGUUUGAUUUGGGUGAUCUCUGAUCUGUAAUGAUGGGGUGCUCGGGUCCUUGUGCUUGUGCCCCAAUUUCUCCCUAGUCUCAGAAACACUGUCUCUGACAACCACUCCCCAGCCCAAGGACACUGUGCCUAGCAGUUCUUCUUGCAUGGGCCUCAGAACGACCCUUAUCUCUCUCCCUGGUACAGCUACACAGAGCUGGGCUGCUCAGGCCCCAGCCCUCAGAUCAUGUCUCUGGAAGCCUCCCAGUUCCUUAGUAAGUUCCUGUGUUGUGAGAAAGCUUUCCCUUGUUGCAGAGCAUUCUUUCAUCAAGACAGAGGGAGAGGGGUGCUUUGGCCAGCCCAAGGAGUUUUGUCUUUGGCCAGCCCAAGGACUCUUCCUCCUGCCAGACUCCAAAGAUCCAUACCUCUGUUAUCUCCCUCACGGUCCGGUAUACUCCCUGUACUUUCCCAUCCAUAGCGCCCCCCCUCCCCCAAAGACACCUGCACCUUUGGAUUACCUCAUCCUUCUCCCUGGCAUUUCUUUCCCAUGCUCUUUUCCAUAUAAACCCUAGCUCGACCCCUGAUUGGGGCUGCUUGAUUUGGGUGUGCAUACCCCUUGCAGAUGUGCUCUUUAAUAAACCUCCACAUUAAAUUUCUGAUUGGGUCUCU